GCCAGGCAUAGUGGUGCACGCCUGUAAUCUCAGCAGCUUGGGAGGCUGAGGCAGGAGGAUGGCGAGUUCAAAGCCAGCCUCAGCAAAAGAGAGGCACUGAGCAACUCAGUGAAACUCUGUCUCUA
rnacentral:sRNA from 1 species